rnacentral:rRNA from 1 species
UACGUAGGGUGCGAGCGUUUGUCCGGAAUUAUUGGGCGUAAAGAGCUCGUAGGCGGUUUGUCGCGUCUGCCGUGAAAGUCCGGGGCUCAACUCCGGAUCUGCGGUGGGUACGGGCAGACUAGAGUUCGGUAGGGGAGACUGGAAUUCCUGGUGUAGCGGUGAAAUGCGCAGAUAUCAGGAGGAACACCGGUGGCGAAGGCGGGUCUCUGGGCCGAAACUGACGCUGAGGAGCGAAAGCGUGGGGAGCAAACAGG